rnacentral:ribozyme from 12 species
CAUGAAAUGAACCAACAAGGGAAAAAAAGAAUCAAACAAUCACGCAGACUACAACACACUGUUUUUUGUUUUGUUUUGUUUUGUUUUGUUGUUCCUGGAUACAUACACAUCAUACACAACAACGGAGAAGGCUCUAUGUAUACCAUCAUGCAUCAACAAAACAAUGAAUGGAGGCAGUCAUAUUACAAUGAUGAAUCACUUCGCUUCAUCAUAAACGAACAAAAAGGAUAUGCCUUGGAUGCACUAAUGUUUACGCACGAACGCACGCACGUCUUUGUGCGAUUGGGAUAGAAGUGCGGGGAUCGAAUCGAAUAGAUAUUGGUUGCUAUUACCAUUGCCCCCGUUCUUAAUAGAACGCACGAAA